rnacentral:sRNA from 1 species
UUAUAAAUCAGCAGCACAUAUACUAAAAUUGGAACGAUACAGAGAAGAUUAGCAUGGCC